CAAAAGCUUGUUUCACAACACUUUUUGUUCAAAUUAAACUGCUUCUGCUUUAGGUUAGGAAAAAUUCCACCUGAAUAAAACGGGCACGCGGGUGCUGACCAGGUGUGCCUUUUAAGCAUGAAAGUCCAAGACUGAGCUUUCACACUUGGACCUGCUAAUAGCUGUGUAGCGGCGGGGGCAGGCCGUCCUGCCAUCAACGCCAGCGCCCCAACCUCCCCAUAACUGACCAACGUCACCAGGUCACCCUCAGGUCACGGUGCCACAGGCAGGAAUGUUCCAUAAUUGUCCCCACCGUGCCCUUGUUGCUAUGACUGACAGUUACUCUCAAAACAGAAAGAAGCGGGAACUCCUGAUGAUUCCAGCUGUGUGGUAGGUCUGGAAAUAGGGUGGCGUUUCUACAGAUGGUGCAGGAGCAAGUGGAAAUCAGAGAGGAAAAUGAACCAUAACCGCGAGCUCACACAGCACAUUCAAGCCGGAUCAAAGGCACGUCUAAGAUGCAAAACCAUGAAACUUUCACAGGACAUAAGAGGAAGCCCUCAGGAUUUGGAUUUUGGUUCGGAAGUCUCAGCAUACUAAAAGCACCAUCCAGAAAAAGAAACUGGUGACUUGGACUUAAUCAUGAGACACCUUUGCUCAGAGACCCUGCUAAGGAAAGACACCUGUAAACAUCCCACAAAAGUCUCACAGACAGUCUCAGGGCGGCUUCCUCUCCAGCCACGGGCUUCUUCCACCUCCCCCCAUCCCCAGGUCUUUUUAAUUCAAGGACACCAAGUCUUAUUAGUGUCACAUUCUCUCCUCAGGUUUUCCAGAUGCUCUGUCAAUGAUCAAAAGUAAGAAGCAAGCAGGGCAGAGAACCCAAGACUCAGCCAGCAGGAGACACAACACCUACCUCAAUAUUACCAAAAAAAAAUCCAAAUUAAUGUAAUCAAAUCUAUGAUGAACCGUGUAUCAAAAUUUACAUGCAGACGGGACUCUCUGCUUGCCCCGCUGUCGCCCUAGUCCUGGCUCCUGGAAGAACAGGCAAAAACACAGCUGGGUGGGAAAUGUGCUCACCUAUGCUAACAUCUUGCAUUUAUUUCCUUAAACACCUCCCAGCACACGGACCAGCUGCUCUUCUAGCCCCUGCGUCUCCCGGGCCAGCGCACUCCUCUCAGCCCUGUCCCUCUCCUCCCCGCACCGCCAGCUUCUCCCGCGCGUCCACCCUCCACCCGACACCACUCUACAGGCAGCAGCCCUGCUCCGCCCCUCAGAGCCGCCAGGCCCGCUCCUCGGGGGCUCCCCUCCUGCCCCGCUCCGCCCGGUGCCUGCGCCUUGCCCUCUGCCGCCCCGCCUCGGGGUCCCCGUGCCCGGCCUGUGCGCUGCGGCCUCUGAGCACCGCCCCAGGGCAGGAAAGAGCAAAGGCCCCAUAAGUGCUGAUCUGAUGCCCUCUUCUCCCCUCGGAAAUGAAAGCUAAACACCAGCACCCAGUACCUGGGGGAAGGGGCGGGGCCGGUCCGGAUUCCGCCCUCUUCUCAAGGUGUGCGCCGCACCCACCCCACGGAGGACGGAUGCAGAGGGCUGGCGGCGCCUUCCGACUCCUCCGGUUCCCGGUGGGGGACGCCCCGGUGGCGGAGGAGCCACUCUGGGACCUGGGUGGCUCCCGCGGGCUGCCCAACCCCGCCCUGGACAGAGCCCCACACCGUGGACCCGCACCGGCUGCCAGGCUCUGUCUACAUCAGUCACUCACAGACUCAGCAACUGCAGCAUCGGCGCGGUCCCCAAGCUGCCAGGUACAGCUAGACACUUUGUACAGGUGGAAAGACUCCUAACCAUGUGUAGGAACGGUCCCCCUCAGCGGCUGCGGCAGGAGGAGCCUGGAGGAAGCUCACAGACUCUGCACUUUGGGAGGACUGGGCUUAGUACAAUCAGCAUAUGGUAGAGGUCUUAAGGAAAAUAAAGCAAAAAAAUGUACUCCUCUAAAAGCCCCUCUGGAGACAUGGGGUUCCUCGGGGGUGGCUGCGAGGGGCCUCUCUGGUACUUUGCGGGCUUUAGGGAUGGGGCUGGGGCACGGAGGACAGGCCCACGCACCCUCCCACCUCUGCCCCCACAGCUGCCACCCUCCAUCCCUUCCCCACACGCCCACAGGCACCGGGACACUCAGGGACUGGAACAUGUCACAGGGUAAAGGAUAAACACUCCCCAAAGUUUCUAGAAAGCCAGGAGGACCACACGCAGCCCAUUUGUCCCCCGCCAGGGACGAAAGCCAGGCCCGUGCGCUUUACCCCGGGAAGGCCUCCUCCCCCCACACCCGGCGUGGCUGGCUCACCACCCAUGGCCCUGACUGGGGGACUCUGCAACUGGGGGAAGCUUUGCAAGCCAAACCAAACAGAGCCUGAGGGCGUCAGAGCCUGCUCUGCAGGCCUCGCCCAGGGGACAAGGUCCAGCUCACAGCCUUGGUUUAAAAGGAGAGCGGAGGACGCACCCAGAAGCCGGCCUCCCCGAGCCUCCUCCCCAGUAUCCCAGCGCCCAGCGGCCUGCCCACCCCACCAGGGGCCCAGCCUCCAGCUGCCCCACACCUCCACCCCCUGGUCUGAACGCUGAGCCCGGCUCCCCCAGGGCUGGCUCCACACGGACUCCAACAUCUCUGCCACGGAACUGCAUCACAAUCACACAUCUUCAGUGGAGAGAAAAAGGCCGUGACACACAUGCUUCUCACUGCCGGAGAAAGGAGACCCGAGACACGCUUCUACUUCCUACUACAUUUCAAGCUGAUGAAACGCAGCUAAUAGCAUGUCAGAAGAAACAGCAGCAGAACCUUAAAUGCGAUGUUCGAAUAGCAAAUGCCUCCCCCCCCCAUAACCAGUUCCUAAUAGCAUCACCAUGCAGAGCUGCUCUGUCACACUCCUGCCACUGAAAGCCAGCCCCUCUGAGUCAACGGUCUUCUGAGCUCAGCAGAUUCUGAGUCGGAGAGGUGAUUUGCAUGGAUUUUUGUGCAAUCCUAUUUACAAACCAAUUGACAAAAAAGAAAGUGUUCCAAGCCUAGAGUACAUGGUGUGACUCGGAGCUUGCCAGCAAGGCCUCAGGGGUGCUCUCGUGCUGGUCCUCACCACAGCAUCCCCACUGGGGGACCCAAGUUGCCUGGGGAGUGGCGGGGCGCAAGCAAGUUCAAGACCAAGUGUUCCCCAGCCUGAGCUGGGAUGCGAGUAUGAGCAAGUCUGGUGGAGAAUUUCACCUGACAAAUUUGUUCCAAAUACCUUGGGUUUCUCUCUUGUUUGUGUUAUUGUCGUGGCGAGGUCCACUCCCUGGUGAGCGUGGUUUGAAAACUGCUGCCAUUAUAAAAGCCCUGAGAGGAGAGCUUCUGCCAGGGUGUUUACAACUCAGGCAGUAAGAUGACUCCAGAGAAGGGCUUGGAGCAGAAGCAACACGGCCGCAAUGCCAAGAAGGCAGGAAGAUCAGAAGUGACCCAUCUUUCAGCCUCACCUUCCGCUGUGCCGACCCAGGCCUGCAGCCACCUGUACACCCUUGACUCUCAUUCCGUGACAUACAAAUGUUCCGUGGGAGUUUUAAGAGGGUGACAAAGUGACUUCACUCGUACUGUGAGAUGUUUUCUUGACGUUAAUUUAUAUUGAUUUUCCAUCAAUGUGACAGUUUUAGUAAAAAAAAAAAAAACUUCACACCAAAAUUGUCCAAAAUCGAUUUGUGAAAUACCUUAUAAUCAUAAGGUCCAAAUUCUGGCUAGAAAGACUCUGUCGAAACACCCUUCUGAAGAGACCUCUUAUUUGGUCGUUAGAAUGAUAGGUUAGCUACCCUAGGAAAAAAUAAAUGAUUCUAACAGCCAACCAGCUUACUAACUGAUUACAAAUUUCCUUUGACUUCAACAGACAGAUCCAUUUUGUAGUCAUUUUUAACAUGAAAAUAUGCAUUUCUAGAUAUUAGUCUUUAAUAAUACCAUGUAUGUGAGGCCCGGAGCAGGCCGCCCCAAAAUACACCUCGAAAGCAUGUUAUUUUGAAUCAGUCCUUGAGAAACUGCGGUGACUGACUCUUCUCUGUCCCCCACAACGUGGGGACAAGUAGGACAUUUCCCGGUCCAUGCGAUGACCUUCUCCGUUGCUCCAGGAGGACAGAAAGCACCCUUGUCACCGGAUCCUGGGAGGCUUCGAGGCCAGGAAAGCCGUAUAAACAACCUGCACCACUUCCCCAUUAGUCGGCUACCCCAAGCUCAAGCCCCUCACAAGUAAGUGUUUCUUUGUCUAAAAAUGAUACAUAAACAGUCUGCUUUGGUCGCUUUGGGUCCCAUUUCUACGAGACCUUCCUGCAUAUGAAUUAAACUGCUUUUUUCCCUCCUGUGAAUCCGUCUUGUUUCAAUGUAAUUAUUAGGCCAACCUAAAGAACUCGUGAGGAGUGGGGGGAAAUUAUGCCCCCCCAAAACACCGAGGGAAAAGGAUCAGGGAUUUGGGGAGCAGGCAAGAAUUUGUUUAAAAUAAUUAAGAUAUUGGUUUUUUUAAAAAAUCCAUAUUCGUCUCAAAAAUAAUUCUGAAAAGACUUUUGAGAGGCCUUUCGCAUUGAGUGAAACACGUCACGACGUACACUUUUGGGUUCUGUUUUAUAAACGAGCACCAGACAAGGGGAACCAGCUGGAACCAGGGCUCUAUUUUCCUGACAUCGUGGAAACUUUCGAUCCUAGACGGGCACCACGUAAUAAACGCAGCAAGGCGCUGAGUCACGAAGUACCUGGUCAGCCAGGAAGGGACUCAAAGCGGGAUCUCACGCGGACACCUGGGUGGACUGGCGACGGCACCGGCCACCUGCCUGCACGCAGACAGAACCCGAGCCCCGCAGCUGCCGCCCCCCACGGAGUCAGGGUGGAGCUCCUCUGUGCUCCGGGAAAACGAGUUGGCUCUUUUCAGGAAAAGACUUGAUAAGGCCCAUUCUUGCACCUCCUCACUUCUAGAAAAACACGGAAACCCUUCACAGUGACUGAUGUCUGCUCCUCUCGAGUCGUCUGACCUUCGCGAAACCAGCAGCGAACCUGUAAGAUGUGCACGUGGCGGUCGGCGGGAAGGAACAAAGCUCACCUGCCAACCAGCAGCCGCCAGCCGCCAGCCCCCAGCCCCGGCCCCGGAUAACUGGGGGUGAUCUCAGGGAGCCCAGACCCCUACGCCUUCCCAUAGAAAAGACUACAUUCCUUCCCUUGAGAUCUCUGGUUUUCUGCUUUGGGCAGUAAUCUUUUCUCCCCACGACCUGCCCUUUGCUGCAAAACCCCCAUCUAUCCUGCAUCCCCCCUUGCCUGCUCCAAACGGUUUUUCUCGGGGUUACUUGAGAUGCCCCCCGAUCUUAAGUCCUCAUUUUGCCCCAAAUAAAACUUAACUCUUAACUUUUAGGUUGUGCAUUUUUUCUGUGUCAACCAACACCUGGACCUCCAGAAGUUCUUUGUGGAUCUGGAUGGGGAUUCGUUGUCAAAAAUUUUUUUCUGAAACAUUUUCGGCAUGACUCAGGGCAACUGGGAAGGGCAGGGGCCAGCCUCUGUCUUCUCUCAGGGUUUCUGGGGGUGUGCACCUCAGCACCAGGGCACAGGCCCUAGGGGACCACUCGGGCCCCAGGGAGAUGGGACUCUGGCCAGGCCCAGUGCCACGGGGAGCCCCACCCCCCCACCCCUGAAGGGUGCAGCUUGCACUCCUGCUCAGAAAGGGCUAGCUGAACUCAUUCUCAGAUAUGAUUGUUUCAAUUCUGAAGGGGAAAAGAUGCAAACAGCAUUUUAAGUAUAAUUUGCCUAAAAUGUACUCCUUGUAAAGAAUACAUAACCCUUUAGGUAUAAAAAGUCUUCAAAGAAAAAAAUACGUUAUAAUUGCUUGACUAAGUGACAGCAGACACAGCAUAUUUGCUUUUUCCUACAUGAAGCUGUCAACAUCUUAAGAGGCAGGAAAAGCAAAUCUGAUGCAGGAGUAGCUGCUUCUGCAAUUAACAGGGUGGCAGAGAACAGGAAUGGGGUUCAGACGGCUCCAGAAAGUACUCAACAUCCUGCUUCCUGGCUUCCUCGUGGAAAGAGUGGGGCGAAGUGGCGAUAAAUGAUCUAAGCAGCAGCUAAGAGCCCGUGUGGCAUGUAAAUUCACAACUGAAUUCAUGCGUGGACGUUAGGAAAUAACACCCAUCUCACGUCCCCAGAGGCCACACGCCAAGCAUGAGCUUCAAGCGAAGUCGCUGUCGGGAGCUGGGGCCAGGACAUGUGCAGGCAUCACCGUGGUGUCGACACAGGCCCCGCCCAUCCAGGGCUUGCAGAAGUGUUUCUGGCACGUGCCCGAUCCAUACACGGUGUGAAAUCUUCCGGAGAGUAUCUGAUUUUAUCCUCAGAAGCUCCUCCGGAAGGUGCGACGCUCACACCUGUGCACAGACUCAGGGGCAGGGGCCCUGGGGAGGUUGGCGUGCACUGCAGCUGGCAGGGCGGCUGCUGGACUGGCCCAGCUGAGGGGGUUUCUCAGCCUUUGGAAACAUCACAGAUAAUUAAGUGGUUAAAUAACAGAAAAGGGACUGACGGGUUAGACAUCCCUCCGAGGGGGCGAAAGGAUGCCCAAUGACCAGGGCGUGACCACACAGAGCAUAGCCGGGGUGUGCAUGAGAAAGCCAGAGGAGUUUCAGUCUGUUAGGUCAGAAGGUGAAGUAAACGGAACUGGAACCACGUACUUAAAAAAAAAAAAAAAAAAAAAAAAAAAAAAAAAAAAAAGAACGUCCCAGGUAUACAACCUUCUAGAAACUGGUAAGUGCACAAGCAAACAGGUUCACUGGGAGAAGCCAGGUGACUUCUGACACCUCAUUUGUGCUGUCAUCUUUAAGGAGACAAGACAGCAGAUUAUAAAAAGCAUUUGUCAGUAUUUAUCAAAACACAUCCAAGCACUGGGCUGUGGCGCAAGCAGCAGCGGGUCACAAAGAGACUGAACCACGAUCCUGGCCCUAUUCGUGGAAAAAAUGAAUGGACCAAUGUGCUGACAGGAAGUUGUCCUCACGGUGCUUUUGCAAAAGGAAAAGUCACCUCCUCGAAAAGGGAACCCAGCACCUGCACUGCUAAUGACAGAGGCAAACACAUCACAGGCCGGUACGCACCACUUCUCACCCGCCAGCAAGCCCCGUCCACACCACCCUCUGAGGGUGUCCUGGAAACUGUCAGCUCUGCCCGCUGAGGGUGUCCUGGAAACCGUCAGCUCUGCAGGCCCCACACAGACACGCAGCUGCAAUUGGCUUAGGGAGCUUACUAGAACCCACGGCUGGUGAGGAGCAGAGCUGGGGUUCACAACUCCUUUGUCUGCCUUCAAUGUGUGUGCUCCUCCCACGUGAUACAGCACUAGGAAUAAAGCUCUGAACUCCACUUGAGUAAGUUAUAUGGGCUGAAGUAUGCGCAAAGGUCCUGAAGCUUUGCCAGUAACAGCUGUGACACCUGAUGUUCUGUAAGGUAAAAGUUAAGUUUGCAGGUGAACUUUAUAAAACAAACAUAGGUCACUUUCCUGGAGGUUAUGUCCCGCAUGAGAGCUGCACCCAAGUGGUGGUCAGCGACAUGCCAGGGCCAAGCCUGUGCCUGAGGCGCCUCCGGGGACCUCGCAGACCUGUGACUGCAGGAGUCAUCAGGCUUCUCUACUGCUUUCUCUGUGGUACCUUCUGAGCCACCCAAAGAGAAAAAACGUGCUGCAAUACUGGCCCUAUUCUGUUUACGUUGCUAAGUUACUGAAUAUUUUGCUUUGUUUUGCCCAACUGUGUGAGUUGCCUUUCAAGAGAGAAGCUACAUUCUGGAACAUCUUUUUGUGUGUGACCCGAAUGCGCUGAGAGUAUAUUUGCGAAAUAAUUUUUUAUUUUUCUUUCCUUUUCAAAGACAAUUUGGAGAGAAUGCUGUGAUUCUAAACUGAUUUGAAAAGCAGACAGCAAACAUCAGCAUUAGUACUUAAGCAGAAAUACAUCUCUUUGGAGUUCUUGCAAGCUACACGUGUGCACACACGCACACACACACGUGGCUACGAGUGGAGAGAUGGGAAGGACAUUCAUACUCGGAAGGAAGAGAGACCCAAGAAGCCGCCUCGUUCCAGGACUCCGCCAACACGCACAGGACACCGCCAAGAGGAGUCAUGGGCCUGUUACUUAACAGACGCCCUUGGGCACUCUCAGUUCAAUUCUCCUUUCAAAUAAAAAUCUUGGAGAGAAUUUUUCACCUAUUCCCUUCAAGAUUCUGAAUUUAAAAAAAAAAAAAAAAAAAAA